AUUGAACGCUGGCGGCAUGCCUUACACAUGCAAGUCGAACGGCAGCACGGGAGCAAUCCUGGUGGCGAGUGGCGAACGGGUGAGUAAUAUAUCGGAACGUGCCCAGUCGUGGGGAUAACGUAGCGAAAGCUACGCUAAUACCGCAUACGAUCUAUGGAUGAAAGCGGGGGAUCGCAAGACCUCGCGCGAUUGGAGCGGCCGAUAUCAGAUUAGGUAGUUGGUGAGGUAAAGGCUCACCAAGCCGACGAUCUGUAGCUGGUCUGAGAGGACGACCAGCCACACUGGGACUGAGACACGGCCCAGACUCCUACGGAGGCAGCAGUGGGGGAAUUUUUGGGACAAUGGGCGGCAAGCCCUGAUCCAGCAAUGCCGCGUGCAGGAUGAAGGCC
rnacentral:rRNA from 1 species